rnacentral:rRNA from 1 species
GUGAACGCUGGCGGUAGGCCUAACACAUGCAAGUCGAACGGCAGCACAGUAAGAGCUUGCUCUUACGGGUGGCGAGUGGCGGACGGGUGAGGAAUACAUCGGAAUCUACUUUUUCGUGGGGGAUAACGUAGGGAAACUUACGCUAAUACCGCAUACGACCUACGGGUGAAAGCAGGGGAUCAUCGGACCUUGCGCGAUUGAAUGAGCCGAUGUCGGAUUAGCUAGUUGGCGGGGUAAAGGCCCACCAAGGCGACGAUCCGUAGCUGGUCUGAGAGGAUGAUCAGCCACACUGGAACUGAGACACGGUCCAGACUCCUACGGGAGGCAGCAGUGGGGAAUAUUGGACAAUGGGCGCAAGCCUGAUCCAGCCAUACCGCGUGGGUGAAGAAGGCCUUCGGGUUGUAAAGCCCUUUUGUUGGGAAAGAAAAGCAGCAGGUUAAUACCCCGCUGUUCUGACGGUACCCAAAGAAUAAGCACCGGCUAACUUCGUG